rnacentral:rRNA from 1 species
CACUAUGCCUAGCCGUAAACAUUGAUAGAACCCUACACCCCCUAUCCGCCCGGAUAUUACGAGCAUUAGCUUGAAACCCAAAGGACUUGGCGGUACUUUAGAUCCCCCUAGAGGAGCCUGCUCUGUAACCGAUAACCCCCGUUAAACCUCACCCUCCCUUGUUUUUCCCGCCUAUAUACCACCGUCGUCAGCUCACCCUGUGAAGGCCCAAUAGUAAGCAGAAUUGGCACAGCCCAAAACGUCAGGUCGAGGUGUAGCGCAUGAGAGGGGAAGAAGUGGGCUACAUUCGCUAACAUAGCGAAUCACGGAUGAUGAACUGAAACAUUCAUCUUUAAGGAGGAUUUAGCAGUAAGUGGGAAAUAGAGUGUCCCACUGAAACCGGCUCUGAAGUGCGUACACACCGCCCGUCACUCUCUCCAAGCUGCCUGACAUUUAAUAUAAUUAAUCAGAACUUCAAACUGCUAAGGGGAGGCAAGUCGUAA